GGCUCAAUGGUCUAGUGGUAUGAUUCGCGCUUCGGGAUUGAACUCCCCUCUGAGCACUCAGAGAAGAAGAUGUGCGAGGUCUCGGGUUCGAUCCCCGAUUGAGCCC